rnacentral:rRNA from 1 species
AGGGCAAGUCUGGUGCCAGCAGCCGCGGUAAUUCCAGCUCCAAUAGCGUAUAUUAAAGUUGUUGCAGUUAAAAAGCUCGUAGUUGAAUUUCGGGAUUGACGUGAUGGUCAUGCCUUAAGGGGUAUGAACUGUUACAGUUGAUUUCUCACCUUCUGGAAAAACUUGAUGUCCUUUAUUGGGUGUCUUGCAGAUCCAGGACCUUUACCUUGAAAAAAUUAGAGUGUUUAAAGCAGGCAUUUUUGCUCGAAUACAUUAGCAUGGAAUAAUAGAAUAGGACGGCAUGGUUCUAUUUUGUUGGUUUCUAGGAUCACCGUAAUGAUUAAUAGGGAUAGUUGGGGGCAUUAGUAUUCAAUUGUCAGAGGUGAAAUUCUUGGAUUUAUUGAAGACUAACUACUGCGAAAGCAUUUGCCAAGGAUGUUUUCAUUAAUCAAGAACGAAAGUUAGGGGAUCGAAGACGAUCAGAUACCGUCGUAGUCUUAACCAUAAACUAUGCCGACUAGGAAUCAGACGAUGUUAAUUUUUUAAUGACUCGUUCGGCGCCUUACGGGAAACA